UACGUAGGGUGCGAGCGUUAAUCGGAAUUACUGGGCGUAAAGCGUCGCGCAGGCGGUUCGUUGUGUCGGCGGUGAAAGCCCCGGGCUCAAGCCUGGGAAUGGCCGUUGAAACUGGCGAACUGAGUGUGGCAGAGGGGGGUGGAAUUCGCGUGUAGCAGUGAAAUGCGUAGAGAUGCGGAGGAAUGACCAAUCGGCGAAGGCAAGCCCCCUGGGUUAACACUGACGCUCCAUUGCACGAAAGACGUGGG
rnacentral:rRNA from 1 species